AAGGCUUUAGCUUAGUUUAAAGUAUCUGGUUUGCGUCCAGGCGAUGUGGGAUAGUGUCCUGCAAGUCUUA
rnacentral:tRNA from 1 species